AUUUUCAUAAAGAUAGCAUGUCAUUUGAGAAAUAGUCCUUAUUUUUGCUAUUCUAAUAAGUGUUUAUUUAAUAGUGAAAUACAUAAAUGAAUGAAUUAGCUCUUACGGGCCAAGCACCAGUCCUGAAACAUGUUUUUUUGGGGGAAAAAAAUAACCCAAAGUGUCCCACAGUCAAAUAAAUUUGGGAACACUGUAUUCUAUAAUUCCUGGAAAUUCACAAUGUACAAGAGCUCAUAUAGGUUCGGAGAAGUUUUCUAGCAAAUAAACCAGUUUGAUGUUGUUAAUCCAGUGAUCCAUACUUAUUUGAUCAACACGUAUGUAUUUCUUAAUUUUUUUUUGUCUGUCAGUGUGGCAACACCCAUUAAUUUCACAAAACUCAUGCUUCCGAGAAGCUCCACUUUGGAAAGACUGCACUAGCUAGUGAAUUGGGGGCAGAGCUGCUAUCUUUGGGCUCCAGCUGGGACUUUGCAAGACACAAUGUUGCUCUGAAGAUAAAGCAUGUCCUACUCAUCUGUGCAGACAACUGAGGCCAGUUCCAGCUAGAGCCAUUGUCCACCCUGAGCCCAUAUGGACUCUGUCAAAGGGCUCCCUGGAUCCUGGCUUUAGUUAGGCUCAGUGAGCGGGAGGUGCCGGCCAGAGACCAGAAGCUGGGAGGAGGAUGAGAAUGGAGCAUUUCUUCCCACGGGAUGGUCACAUGGUAAGUCAGGGAGUUGGGAGUCCCUCUCCAAGUUUUGGAAACUACUCACUCCCUGCCCUUUCAGGCCUUGAGGUGGUACUGGCUCCUUUCUGCUGCUGGUCCCAGAAUCCUACACCAUCUCUUGCUCUCUCCACAUCUUGUCCGUACUUUGUAAGUCACUGGGUUUUUUGUUUGUUUGUUUUGUUUUAAUUAAACUCUCUUCAAAUUACUCAGUUUGAGUGUGCUGUUUCCUGACCGGAUCCUAACAGAUAGAGGCACAUGGCAGUUGACAUUUUGCACUUAAAUCUUUGACUAUCCUCAAUUUGCCUCUAGAAGUUUCAGAUAAAUUCUUAAAAGUGGAUCAACAGAUAAACAUAUGUUUGCACCACUUCAUUCCUAUUUGCCACAUUACUUUCCAAAGAUCAGUGAUGCCAAAU
rnacentral:lncRNA from 1 species